UGAGAACUCUCUCCUUUGUAACACCUACGGCGAGUACUUCUUGCACAAAGCAAGCAGAGCAGGAUUCUGUUCUUGCACAUCAAGUAAAUCCAGUAAACCAGAUGCAGUAGAUGCGUCUGCUGCAAAGCCGCGACCAAACAUUUCAUCUAGGAGUACACCUGCUUCAUAGUAAUUCUUAUUCUGUAAACAACCGCGAAUAAGCAUGUUGUAUGUGACAUCAUUAGGCAAGCAAUCAUCAGCUUCCAUUUCCCUGAAUAGUUCAUUUGCUUCAUCCAAUAACCCUUCAUUACAAUAUGCUUGGAUCAUCACUGUGUAUGUCUUGACAUUAGGUCGCAAACCUUUCGCAGGAAGGUUGUCAAAAAGGCUUCUUGCAUUCUCGAGAUGUCCAUUUUUGCUCAGUCCAUCCAUCAGAAUAGUGUAAACAUGUAUAUCAGGAACUAGCCCACGGGAUUCCAGUAUUUGAAAGAAGGAUAGUGCUUCAAAUACAUAACAAUUCUGGCAAAGACCAUGCAACAAGAUAUUGCAUGUCACUAUAUCUAACUCAACACCUUCGUUAAUCAUCUUUUCCUUAAAAAAUUUACGUGCUUCAACAUGUCUACCCGCAUAAAAAAAACCUUGCAGUAUAGUACUGUAAGUCUCAAUAGUUGGGGCUAAACCUUUAGAGGGCAUCUGUUGAAAAAGAGCUAUUGCUCUGUCCACUUUCAUCUUUCUACAGUACCCGUUGAUCAGAAUAUUAUAGCUAAGAGCAUUAGGCAGUAUUCCCUUUCUCGCCAUGCUUUCGAACACUGCUAAAGCUUUAUCAACCUCUCCCCUCAAGCAGUAUCCAUCCAUGAGUGAGCUGUAAGUGACUACAUCAGGAUCUACUCCUUUUUGAAUCAUCAACUCUAUCACAUCCUCUGCAUCUUUAACCAUUCCUUCUUUGCAAUACGCAUCAACCAAUAUAUUGUAAGUAAAAUCAUUUUGAGAAAUGUUCCUAACAUCCAUCUCCUUGAGCAAUUGUUUGACAUCAUGCCAACGAUUAACGUCACACAGACCUUGAACUAAAGAGUUGUAGGUUAUAACAUCUGGAGAUAUGCCCCUGAUGAGGCAUAUCUUGGGAAAUAAGGCCCCUGAUGAGAGUGGUAUAAGUAACCACACUUGGCACAAAACCGAGCUUGAUGAUUCCAGCCAAUAGUGAAAAGGCAAAAUCGACGCGAUUCAAGUGACAAAAGCAGUUAAUGAGAGUAUUAAAGGUAAUGACAUUAACAGGGAUGCUUUCUACACGCAUCUUUCUAAAAAGGGAGACAGCUACGGAGUAGUGUUUCAUUUUAACAAGGGCAGCUAAUAGUUGAGUGAAGUCGAUAACAGUAGGCGAGGCUUCAUAAGGAGCAUUUUAUCAAACAGUCGAAGAGCGGCAAGAAGUAAAUGUUGAAGACGAGCGUGAGAUGGAUCAGAGGAAUAAGGGAAACGGGGUUUGGGUUUAAAGGGAAUAUUAGGGUUAGGGUUAGUGGAGAAGUGAGAAACUGCAAUAACAGAAUGUCUUAGGAAUCGAGAAUUUGAGAUGACAAAUUUCUUCAUCGUCGUCAUCAUCAUGAUAUCUAUACUUGUUGGACACUCAAAAAAUUAGCCGGCAGAGCAGAGCAGAUGAUAUCAAUUCUUUUCAAUAGUGAUCGAAACUGAAUCACAGUGAAAACGGCGAAAACUUAGAACUAAUCAACAAGAAACAAAACAAACAACACUUGGCAGUUUUUCGUAAAACAGAAGGAAGGAACUCAUCACCCAUUUUAAUGGUAUUAACCCUAACUCGAACGUGUUUUACUCCCAUGCAAACUUGAACCAUGUAUAUCUCUUUUUAAUUUUAACGUAUUUAUUUCAAAACAAAACAAACAACUAAGUCUAUAAAAGAUAAAUAAUAUAUUUUUUCUUAUAAAUGAUGAAAUUUAAAUUAUGAUAUAAAUAUUUAUUAAAAAACAGAUUAUCACAUAUGUAUAGGGCUGUAAAAUGAACCGGGUGAUCCCGGGUACUCCUCUCCUCAAGUACCGGAUCAUAUUAUUUUUAGCUUGUCCAGAUUUGGGUUCGGGAUCGUUUUAUUCGGGUAUAAACCGAUCCCGAGUAUUUGAGAUUCGGAUCUGAACCGGAUAUGAUCCAGUAUCGUAUUUUCUAUUUUUUAACCGGGUAGUUUAUAAUCCAUCAAAUAUGAGCCGGAUAUGAUCCACUAACAUCAAAUAUCAUUAUUAUUUCAGUUGUUCAAAUAAUUAUCAUUUAGUUUAAGUAAACAUAAUAUUAUAAAGUAUAAUAGUUUUGAAUUAAAACUUAUAGUUAUGUGUUGGUAUAUAUCAUUUAUUAAAUAUAUAUGAAGAUAAUAAGCAUGAUCACAUUAAAUAAAUCAUAUUUUAUGAAGAUAUAAACUUAAAUAAGAUAUUACAAUUUUAUAAAAUGAUGACUAUUUACUUGCAAAUGUGUUGGUGUUAAAAUAUAAUAUGUAUAUGAGUUUGAAUCGAAUAUGAACCGUGGAUCAUGUUCGGUUAUUCGGGUAGGAUCAUAUUAUGAAAAAUUAUAUGAGCCUGAAUCUGAGCGGGUAUAGGUGUGCUCGUAUCCGGGAUCAUAUAUUAUACGGGCUUAAUUUUUCCGCCAAAUUUGGAUCGUUUUCAAAACGGAUAUGAGACAUGUAUCAUAUUUUCGAGCCGGAUAUGAGUCGAGACACCGGAUAGUCCGUAUCGAUUUACAGCCAUACAUAUGUAUAUUAGAAAAACAUUUACAGAUAAAUAAUAAAAACACUUUAUUAAUUAUAUUAUGUAAUAACAAUAUGUAUAAAAAUACUGUAAAAGUUAAAUUUGUAAGAGAAAAUAUAAUCAAGUCUAAUAUGAUAUAAUCAAACUUCAAUUCAUUAUCAUACAACCGGACAUGCAAAAAAUGACCGCAUCCAAUAGUACUAAACAAAUAAUAAAUAAGGUUAAAUAUUAAAGGGAAAAUAUAUAUUUUUUGUUACUCAAGUUAUUGUGUAUUUAGAAAUUUACCACCAACUGUAAAUUUUUUUAAUUUACUCAUUGAUGUUAGAUUCAGAUUAUUCUUUUUGUCACUAAAGUUAAGUUCGCCUUUGAUUAUUAAUAUUACUAGCCUAUAACCCGUGCGAAGCACGGGCGACCAUAUUAUUUCUUUUUUUUUAUUUGUAAGCUUAAUAUCAUUUUUUGUGUUUUAUUAUUAAUUUAAUAUAAUGGUAUUAAAUUAUAUUAACUGAUUGGUUAUAUUCACUUUUGAAAGUUUGGCUUGUACAAUAUUUUUCUCUAUUAUAAAAUAUUUUUAAGCAUAAUAAAAAAGUACAAUGGCAAUACGAUUUAGCAAUAACAUGAACAGCUUAAUGAUUGAUCACAAUCAUUUACAAACCAUCCAAAUGUAAAAAUAUCUCUAAUUCUUACUCACAUUAUGGUCAAUUUCAGAUACAUAAAUGGUGCAACGAAUAUUUUCAUCUCUUUGAGACUUAAAAGUUUUCCACUUAUCCGCUUCCUUCCCCAAGUUAGUUCUUCUCUAUUGAAACAAAAUUCGAAAACUAAAAUAUAAAUCAUAUUGACAUUGUAUAAAAAAUACUUUUAAUCACCGAAAAGGCCUCAGCAAUCUCAUGCGAACCAUGGAAGAAAUCUCCUCCGCAGCAAAUUGCUUAUCCUCACCUUUGUAAGAUACAGUACUAAAAAAUUUCACUAUAUUUCAAUAUAAUUCAGAUCCUAAAAAAUUAAAAAAUAAUUGCUUUUUUUAAGUAGAUGAGGACACUUAACUCACAAAACAGAGUCAAAUGAAUGCCACUUCAUUCUUCAAGUCCUGUUCAAAACUUGGCAAAGGAGCAUUCCUUUGGGAGGUUGUUUUCAAAUCUCUUAUUAUCUUGGCAAUAAUCAUAUAUGAGAUGAUAUUUUCUCACCAACUUGAACCACCUUCUUUGUGUCUGGCUUAAUGACCUAAACCUCUCCUUAUGCUAUCAAUUUGUCAAGCUUUCUCUGCAAAACCUUGCAUUCCCUUUCCACACACAAGCAUCAAUCUGAUAGUUCCUGAAUGAGGUAUUGAAGGGACCCUUUGACCAAUUAAUACGUUCUGCUAUCCUAUAGGCUCACUUUAAUGCUCAUUGGUUGCCACAUUGGAUAUUCAACUCCCUUGUCAGCAUAGUUCCUGCAUGUUCUUAUGGGAACAAAAUCCACCAUGAACCUACACCGAGUACAAAUAAAUAGAUUAGUACAAAUAAAUAGAUUGCUUAUAUGCUUGUGCAUCAUUUUCUGAGAUUAUACAUAUAAUCACAAAAAAAUUCAUCGUUUGAAAAUUCACUUACACAAUUUGGUAAAGAUUCCAGAGGAUGGAGUAUGUUUGAAAAUCCUUCGUCGGGUCAAACCACAAAUAUAUCCUUUCUUCUCUAUUGUCAAAGCCAUCAGCAAAAAUAUUGGUCUGAAGUAUGUAAGGCUGCCCGUACACAUUUCCAAGUAACUCAAAAUCUAUUUCAUCGUGAUUAGGCUGAUCACAUGUAAGCUGCAAUCACAAAGACAUUCUUAUCUAUAUUUCUCAAAUUGUGAGUUCUUAGGGGACAUGUCACAAUGUCCAUCAUGUGAUUUCAUCAGUAAUGUGCAUAUGCUAGCUUAACAUGAUGUACUACAUUCACUGUUAUAUUACAUAUAUUGUGUAUGUAGAAACAUGGCCAGUUAAAAAGGUGAGUUGCAGGAUUUAUUUGUCAUCUGCAAUCUAGGAGUAAUUAGCUUUACUCAAAUAUAAAUACACAAACUCUCCCACCUUGUGAGGUAUAAGGGCUUCAGUAUUAUCAUAGCCUAUUAUCUCUGUAGCCAAAUUAUAUGUCCAUCACAUUUGAUGUUUCGUCUGCUCCCGCUCCUAAUGAUGCACACUCUGUCCGGACAACCACUCACACCUAAGUUGUUAUAUAAUUGACCUGGUCUUCUCGAUUUGGAUCAACUUUAGCUGCCGAGUGAGAAUUGGGUACUUGGGAGAUUCUCCUAAAAAAUCAGUUGAGAUGCGGAUAGCUCUUUUUUUCGGACCUGGCUUGCGAAUUCCAUGACAUUGGAAUAUUAGUUAUACAUUUGUAGUUAUAUGGGCUAUGGACAGUAGAGCACCUUCAGGACCAUGUCAAGAAAUUUACUCAGAUUUGGGUGAUUAGUCCCUGCAUCUAUGAAUUAGCACCAAAUACAGUAAUACUUGGACCUAUUUACUAUGAUACUAUAUAUGAGAGAAAAUCUACAGAAUACCAAUCACACAUCAGAAAAUAUAGAAAACACUUGAAACUUCAAACUUCUUGCUGGACGCAGCAUUGACACCAAAACAUGAUAGGAUUUCAGCCUUUAGACUAAAUACCACGAAACUAAUCAACUUACAACCAGUUUAUAAAAUUACAUUCCUUCGCAAUCAUUGCAUAGAUAUUAAAGACCAAAAUAUGAGAUCUUCAUUGCACAUAGAUAAAAAGAUGCUGCAAAGCACAUUUACCUGAAUUUCACCACAUACAUAUUAAAGACCAAGAUAUGAGAUCUUCAUUGCAUAUAGAUAAAAAGAUGCUGCAAAGCACAUUUACCUGAAUUUCACCACAUACAAAUUAAAGACCAAGAUAUGAGAUCUUCAUUGCAUAUAGAUAAAAAGAUGCUGGCAAGCAUAUUUACCUGAAUUUCUCACAUAUGCAAGAUGUACUGACCACACAAGAAUUUAUCACCUGAACAUAAAAUCAGAAAAAAAAUAAAAUUAUCAUGCUACUGCGAUCUAGAAAGUAUAGAGGAGACCCCUGCUACCUGAAUAGCAAAAAGAACAGCAAUAAAUAAAUAAAAAUGAGCAAUGAGUUCUGCACUUCAGUUAUAGCAUUAUAUAAAAGACUGCUGCAGAAAAUAAAAUUAAAGAAAGUUAAGGAGUAAAAGACCUAUAAGAAAUUAUCAACCAGGCUACUCAUAGUGAUAAGAACUGAAUUCACACCAUAUAACAACUUCAUAUUGAGAAGAGAGAAAGCAUACCUAUUCUAGCGCUCUCGGUUCCACAACUACCCCAUCAGAUUCUCUAUCUCCAAACUCAACAUCUACAAACUCAACAGUCAUGAUAUAUUAUUCCUUGCUUCAGUCUUUCUCAAUUUUAUUAGAUCAUCUUCAGCACUCUUUAUAGGCAUACAUGGGUGCAUUGAGAAUAACUAACCUACUCCAUUAUCAAUCAUAUUCUUCCCUAGGUCCCCUGUACCACCAAAUGAAGACCCCCGAUCAAAACCUCCGUGUAUAUAUACAAUUUAACCAAUGAAAACAAAAGGACUUGUAAAAUGGAAUUUAAAAAGUCUUUUAACCGUAACAAUCAAUAAACUGGAAAAAUAGAGUCCCUUAUUAACUUAAAAAUAUUUUAAUUUUAAUUCCAAGCCACCAAAAUGAGCAAAGCACAGAGGAGCCUAAUAAUUAUAAAAUGAAAUGGAGAGAUUUCAGAGAUGACACGUCAUCCUCUGAAGAUCCUCCUUUAUAUAUAUAUAAGAUAAGAUUAAUAUUUCUACAACAUAGGACAUUUGCACCAGAUCCAAUAGGUCAGAAGGUAACAUAAUACCUGUAAAACUUGAACACCAGUCCAUUAACAGCCUCGUACAUAAGCCAACAACUUUAAUUUGUCAAUUAUUUUUAAUCAUAGAUAUCCGUCAUAUAUAAAUACAUAUUGAAAAAAAGAUCACAAACCUUUAUCACCAAAACAAACUUUAUGAAAUUCUCUGCAGACCAACCAAAACAAAGCAUACAGUAUACAACUAACAAAGCAUACAGUAUAGGUAACAAUCCUUUAAUGAAUACACGAGUUUCAAGUUAAUUUGGUAUAGUUAUUAACAAAAAGCAGUACCAUUUUAUGAAUGUGGAUAUAUUGGUGCUCUAAUACAGCCGAGUGAGGGUCUGAACCCACUCAUACAUCCAAGAAAAAAAAAAUUAGCACAAAAGAGUGUUACAAGUUUUUAAACUCAUUUUCCAGAUUGAUAACCUUCUCUUGUGACGCCAAAGAUUCAAGUAAUAGCAGCAGGACCAGAAGAAGAAUUAGGCAACAACUCUCUGUGACUCUCUCCGAUCACAUAAUCAAUUUCCAGCUGCUGGAAUACUAACAAUACAGUUCAUAAAUUAACAGCAGCUGAACAAAUCAUUUACUCGCAGAUGUUCGCAAAGUGUGAGAUAUAUCCAAUAUUAAUUAUAAAAAUAUGUAUAUGAAAUGCCUUGAAAAUCAAAAUGAUAUAAACAACAAAGAUGAAAUUAUCAAUCCUUAUAAGCAACUAAAUUACUGAACUUAAGAUAAAUAAACAAUGGAUAACAAAGAAAGCCAGUUAUUUAGAACACAGAGAACUCAUAUUCAUAUAUAUGUAUCCCGAAUAUACCUUCAGAGGAGAUGAAUUAUGUAGUGUUCUUGAGAGAUGGAAUGAAAAGUAGCACAGGAGCUCGCCGAGAUGAAGAGAGAGACAGCAGGCUAUGGUGAUAGGCUCUUGUAAUUCUACUCUGUCCCUCAAUCAUUUUUAAAAAAUCAGAUAAAUGGUGAGGUUUUUUUCGUGAAGGAGCCGACAAAAUCGAUGGAUUGAUACUAUAGACUACAGGUUGCAGAGAACAGUACUUACUUCAUGAAUACCUGCAGAGAAACAAAAAGCAAAUGCAAUUAGGGACGAGUUUAAGUGAGUAAAGGUAAGAAUGAGGAGAGACAGAGAUAGAAUUACCGAAGUGAGAAUAGGCGAAGUAAUAGUCGGCGCUUGUCUGGUCGGCGCCGAUGAUAGAGCCGUCGAGGCCACACAUGGCAGAAUCCUCUUCGAGAAUGGAGCUACCUGUUGUGGUUCCUUCCAAUUCAUUGUCCUCCUCGUCCUCAAAUUUUAUUUUUGAGAGCUUCUAUGAAGUAUUCAUAUCCUAGGGUUUAUCUGUGUUCAGGGUUUUCGAUUCCAAUUGAGAGCCGCUCUUGUUUGUCAAAUGUUUUAUGUAGUAUUUGGUUUUUCUUCAAAGUCGAUCUCUGUUGGGAAUAGGAGACGUAGUCUAAUGAUGACAAAAAAAUAGGACGAAAAAUGUAGUACGAAACCAAAAAACGUGAACAAAAAGUACGACCGCAAAUUAUACCCAUGUUGGCUUAUUAUAGUAUAGUAUAGAUUUAUAUUCUUUAUAGCAUUAUUAAAAUAUAAUGGUAAUCUGAAAUAUUUUAAUGAUGUGAUAUUUGUCUAUAUUUUUAUAUAUAUUACUUAGUUGUUAUAUACCCAAAAUUGUUUAUCUUAGGUGAUAAGAGUUUCACAAGCAUUGUACGGCUUCUAAAAAAUGUAGUUUAAAAUCCCCAUAAUAUAUUGUUCACACAGAAAGUAAUUUUUGGAUAAAUAUAGUGCACAAAUGGCUUCAAAUAUAUGUUUUAGAGUGUGAUAGUAUGGUCAUCUCGGUAACUGAAAAGAGCCGGCAUGAAGGAGAAAAGUAACACAAAGACUUGCAAAUGCUGCCUCUCACCUAAAUAAAAUAAGCUGGAUGCAUCUUUUAAACAUAGUUUAAAGGAAGCAUAUUUUUUCGUGACAAGGAUAAACAUUAUAAUCAUAAACAUUGUCUGCACAAGGCCAUAGUUUGUGUUUUACAUCGAAGAUAAGAAUCUUAUAGAGUCAAAUCAAACUUGUAAGUUUGCAUGCAAUUCUAUUCUAACAUUCUUACAUAAUAUUUGGCAAGUCUGUGUCAUUAAAAUUUACUGGAAAUGAAAGUGUUUGCAUAUCUUUACACAAAAUGUGUAGAAGUAAAUUGUAAAAAGUUGUAAUUAUAUAUCAUUGUGUGACACCUGCACAUUAAAAUAUCUCAUCUAGUUCAGGAACAACCCGUACACAUUGGGGACAACACAUGUUAGUGUGUUGCUUGGUAGAUUUUGAGAUAAAUCAGUGUUAAACAUUUCAGAUUUAUUUGUAAAAAACUGCAUUCGUAAUGACUAUUUACAUCCUUCUCACUGGAAUCUUUACCUCGGAGAUUGAUUUGAUAGAAAGCUCUUUUGCAUAGGUCUCAUUUGCAGUACAUACUGCUUUGCAGUAGGAGCCAAUAAGGAGUCUGUCUUGCCAUUUGAUCUAUCUUUGAGGGCGUUCAAAGGUGCGUAAUCAACAUUAAAGUAUGAUGAUCCUUGUUGCAUCUGUGCUUGACAAUGUAUCAUUGUGGGUGAGUCUGCAAUGUUAGCAGUAAAUAAUUGGUUACAACUAUACCAUUAGAAAAAAGCAUUUGAGUUGUUGGUGUUCAUAUUAUAACAUGUGUAAUUAAAGUUUAAUAUUUUACGAGACUUGUAGACAUCUUGGUGAGUUGGAUUAUUGAGCCUGUCACCUGAUAAUUUUUUGCCAGCAGUCUAGUAAUGACAACAAAAGUAGCCCUCUCUUCCACGUCCAUGAUUAAAGUCAUGGAUCGGAGUUUAUCAACUGAGAUGAGUUAAGUACUUUACAAAAUGAUAUGUUUUGUUAGCAAGAAACAUGUAAACCACCGUAAUGAGAUUAUUAGUUGUUAAGAAAUUAUAAUUACCAGAACGAGAAACCAACACAGUAAGAAAUUAGGGAUAAGCAUCAGAUUCAAGCAAAUUAUAUCUCAGUGUUUCUCAGUGUCACUGUUAGCUUGUGACUUGAUGCUUAAAGUUUAGGGUAAUUACAUCUUCUUCUGAUUAUUAGCACUUAUUUAAACUAAUUGUGAUAUUUAUUUAUAGCUCCAUAUACAAGUUUCCGUGCUCAAUCUCCAGGACUUGUUUGGGAACAGGAUGUUUGUUACGCUUGUCCGACAUCACAAGUUAGGUCGUGCGCCAAAAUUGCUUUUAUGAACUUAUCUUGAUUAAAUGACUUACUUUAAAUAUUAUGGCUUGUUAUUUCUUAAUGUACAGGCAAUGCUUAUCGACUUUUUAAAAUUUCUUCUCCAGACCAAACGCAGAAAAUCACACAUAUCGAGGAUGGACGGAUAAAAGCAUCCCGAAAAGAUUAUAAUAUAGGUUGUACCAAUUUAUAAUUUAAUAUUUAUGAUAUCUUCAAAUUUUACUCCAAACUACAGCCUAAUUAUUUCCUAACAAGUUAGGAUAUCUAAAUUCAUUCCUUAAAAAGUAGCAGUUCCAAAUUAUAAUUUAAAAAUUACGAUAUUUUUAAAUAUCAAUCCAAACUACAUCUUAAUUAUUUCUUCAUACGUUAGAAUAUUUAAAUUCAUUCCUUAAAAAGUACAAGUUCCUUAUCUUAUGUUUAAGAAUAAAAUAUUCAUUUUCUUCUUCUUUUCACUUUUUCCCUCCACAUUGCUUCCCUUGUAAUAGACUUUGAUUUUAAAUAUAUAUAAUAAUAAUAGGGAGUAUAAGAAUUGUUGUAUGUAAUUUAGUAUAAAUUCUAAUCUAUUGCAAGUUAAAUUUAUUAUGCUUAAGAAUAAAAUAUUUAUUUUCUUCUUUUUCACUUUCUUCUGUCCUUGUUUCACAUUUUUUUCUUUCUAAUGGAGUUUGAUUAUAAACAUAUAAAAAUAGCAAAGAGUACAAGAAUUGUUCGAAUUGUAAUUUAAUAUAAUAUCCUAAUCUACUUUGAUUUAAAUUUAUUAUUAUAUAUUUAAGAACUUGCUGGGGGAUCGCCCUUAGAGAUCCGGUAUGUCAGAUUCAUACGCGGGUUUUUUCUUUUAAAACUUGAGGUAUUUGAUUGGAGUGUUUUAUUAUUUAUUUUAUUCGUAUAGCAAACUGAAACGGAAUACUUCAGCAUUGUCAACUAGAGCAUAGAAUUUCAAAAACUUAUGAAAAGCAUACCAGGGAAACUUGAGGUUACGAGAUCCUGCACCUUAUUCUAAAAAAAACAACAAAAAAGUUCCACCCAGCUGACUUUAAAGACCUGGGCAGACUAGUCUGAUCAGCCGUUCAAGUUCUUUAUCUGAGAGCACUGGCCAAAUGAAGGUUUCUGCAAUGCACUGAGAAGUCUGCAGACAUCAGAAUCAGAUUACCUCAACUAAGGUCAUCAGACAUCAGUAUCUAAAAGUAGUGAAGAAGAGAAAUUAGAAACGGGUUAAUUAUCAAGUUAGUCACUGAAAUGAACUUAAUGUAUCAAGUUGGCCACUGAACUCAAAACGGUAUCAAGAUGAUCACUAAAGUCACCAUAAAUAUCAAACAAGUACCUUGAAAUAUGAGUUCAAAUAAUAAAAAUAUUAUUUAUAAAGUUUUAUACAUUAUUUUUACAUGUUACCACAACCAACUAUAAGGUUAUGACUUCUAGUAUUUAAAAUAAUAUAUAUUUAUAUUUUAUCAAAUUUAUUUAUUAUUUAUAUUUUAUUAUAUAAUUAUUUUCUUUGUUUUAUUUAAAAAUAAAUAAUAAAUAAAUUUAAUAAAAUCUAAAUAUAUUAUGAUAUAUAUUAGAAGUCAUAACCUUUUACUUGGUUUUGAUAACAUUCAAAAAUAAUGUGUAAAACUUUAUAAAUAAUAUUUUUAUUGCUUGAAUUCAUAUUUUAAGGUACUUAUUUGAUAUUUAUGGCCACUUCAGUGACCAUCUUGAUACCGUUGAUACCGUUUUGAGUUCAGUGACCAACUUGAUAUAUUAUGCCCACUUCAGUGACCAAUUAGAUAAUUAACCCAAUUAGAAACCUAUGACCAGUGACAGAUUAUAGGGUGCACAAGACAGUCACUGCAAGCAAGGAACUGGUUCCACCUUCCUCAUUGGCAAGGCUUCAUAAAGCCACAAAAAGAUCAUCGCUCUCCCUGAUGAAAGAUGGAACCAAAUCUGUUCUGAGGAUUGAAUAAUUUGUCGGGUACCUCUUCUUCCUAUCAUAUAUGUACUCAAUAGUCAAUACACUUCCUUACUGCAUAACAAAAAGAAACCAGUCAUCAAGCUUUCCCUAUUGCAUAACAAAAAAACCAAGAAUCAAGCAUUCGGAUCGAAAUCAAAAAACAUAUAUAAAAACCUUUUCUCCCUCCCCAAUCCCCAUGAUCAAAUUCAUGAGCUCGAAACCUCACUCUCCCCCGAAAUACUUAAUAAAAUAAUCCAUUAAAAUAUAUGUAACAAAUCCAUUAAUUGAUUUUGCAGUUUUUUUUCUUUUUUUUUUGCUAAAUCUCUUUAGUUGUUUUGGCAGUUUUGAUUAUACAAUUUCAACUCAGUAGCUUAGUAUUUGAAAUGGACUACUAUCAAGCAGCAUUGAUAAAACUGGUAACUGAAGUAACUAUGGAAAGUAAGCCAUACACAUACAAGCUCUUUAUCUCAUUUCGUUGAUAAUUCAAAACUGCAAUUAAGCUAUAUUAAGUCUUUUAGUUAUUUCACAUAAUAAAGACAUUAAGAUAAAAAAAUCUAUAAACAAAAAGUCAAUGUAGUGCAGAGAAGCUCCAUUCUUAAAUUUAAAUUCAACAAAAUUAUAUCAAAAUAACACCCAAUCAUUUGUAAUCAGUCAGACAAGAACUGCAAAUUUAACGACGACAUUUGAAAUGAAUACUGCCAGGGUAGCAGACCCUAGAAAUUAAAAUGUUGGCAAAUUGAAAAUUAUGUACCUUCGCAAUCUCUCACUCUGUUAGACCUAUGGCAAAUACUUAUUAUGCAGAGCAAGAAAAGCAGGUUCCUGUUCUUGUGAUUUAAGUAGGAAAUUUCCGUGCUUGCACCUGUCUGCAUGUACGAAAAUAACCUUGCAAUAUAGUGCGUUAAAUCUGAAUAGUUGGUGUCAAAUCUUGAAAAAUGCUGGCGAAAUCAAAAAGUGGGCCCUCUCUUUCUUUGUCACACCUAUGGAAAGUACUUCUCACGCAAGGCAAGGAGAGGAGCAUCCGGUUCAUGCACUUCAAUUUAGUCUAGUAACGCAGAUGCCGUAGAUGCAUCUGCUGCAAACCGACGACCAAGCAUUUCAUCUAGGAGUACACCUGCUUCACAGUAAUUCUUAUUCUGUAAACAACCGCGGAUAAGCAUGUUGUAUGUGACAUCAUUAGGCAAGCAAUCAUUAGCUUCCGUUUCCCUGAAUAGUUCAUUCGCUUCAUCCAAAAACCCUUCAUGAAAAUAUGCUUCGAUCAUCACUGUUUAUGUCUUGACAUCAGAUCGUACACAUUUCAUAGAAAGGUUAAAAAGGCUUCUUGUGUUCUCCAGAUGUCCAUUUUUGCUUAGUCCAUCAAUCAGAAUAGUGUAAACCUGUAUAUCAGGAAUCACAAGUUAGUUAAGCUUAUUGUGAUACUUGUUUAUGGCUACAUAUUGAAGUUUUAGUGCUCAAUCUCCGGGAGAACAUGUUUGCUUGUUUGGGAACAGGUUUAGGUUUCUGUUAUUUAUUUGAAUCAGGCAAGUGGUUUUUAGUAGUACUGAUAAAUUAGUCUGAUGCAAGUCCGAAUAACAACAUUGCAAAUACUUUAACUGAGAAGCAGCCCAAUGUAGUACUGUACAGAGGGGCACAAGGCUAGUGAACAAAUAGCUGGCAGAGUGCUUAUAGACUUGCCUUGAUUAGAAGACUUUAGUUUAACUAUUCGCACUUGCAAUUUCUUAACAUUUAGUCAAUGCUUAUCAGCUUCUUCAUAUCUCUGCUUGAGAACUUAAAACACAGAAACACAAAUAUUUAAGAUGGAAGGAAAAGAAACUUGGUAUGUUAGAUUCAUGUGCCGGUAUUUUCUUGGAGAAAAGUUGGCAUGUUUUGCCUUUUCGUGUACUAUGCAUCCAUCAGAAUUUACAUGUAUAAACAACAGGGCUAGCAGUUGAACAAAAAUUCAUACAGGAACCAUUUGAUCGAAUAUCAUAACAAGAAAUAAAGGUCUUAUUUCGAGAUUUUAACUAAGCAAAAGAAGCGGAUAAUCAAGCUAUUAAAAUCCAGAUUAGAAUUAUAUGAAGCAAUUAUUGCCAGAAUUUCUUACACAAAGCAGGAAGAGCAGGAACCUGUAUUUCAAUUCAAGUAAUCUCAGGUCCAAGGACAUUGAAAUGCAUCUCCGGAGCCUUGAGCACACAUUGCUUCUACAAGUACAAUUGCUUCACUAUACUUCUUAUUGUGAAAACAGCCGUGGACAAGUGUUUUGUAGGUAGCAUUAGGCAAGCAAAUACUAGCUUCCAUUUUCACAAAAAGUUUAUUAGCUUCAUCCAGUAACCCCCCUUGACAAAAUGUGUAAAUAUUGACAAAAUGUCAAUCUUUGCUUCCACAUGCCUGCCUGUAAAAAAAAACAUUGCAAUAUAGUUCUUUAAAUCUCAAAUGUUGGUUUUAAACCUUCAAAAUGUUGUCAAAAUCGAGAAGAUUAUGUACCUGGGCACUCUCUUUCUCUGUCACACUUACGGAAAGUACUUCUCACGCAAGGCAAGGAGAGUAGGAUCCGGUUCUUGCACUUCAAGUAAGUCUAGUAACACAGAUGUUGUAGAUGCAUCUGCUGCAAAGCGGCGACCAAGCAUUUCAUCUAGUAGUACAUCUGCUUCGUAGUACUUAUUAUUCUGUAAACAACAGCGUAUAAGUGUGUUGUAUGUGACAUCAUUAGGCAAGCAAUCAUGAGCUUUCAUUUCCCUGAAUAGUUCAUUUGCUUCAUCCAAUAACCCUUCAAGACAAUAUGCUUGGAUCAUCACUGUGUAUGUCUUGACAUUAGGUCGCAAACCUUUCGCAGGAAGGUUGUCAAAAAGGCUUCUUGCAUUCUCGAGAUGUCCAUUUUUGCUUAGUCCAUCAAUCAGAAUAGUGUAAACCUGUAUAUCAGCAACUAACCCACUAUACUCUAGUAUUUGAAAAAACGAUAGUGCUUCAAAUACAUAACAAUUCUGGCACAGACCAUGCAACAAGAUACGACAUGUCACUUUAUCCAACUCAACACCUUGGUUGAUCAUCUUUUCCUUAAAAAAAUUACGUGCUUCAACAUGCCUGCCCACAUGAAAAAAACCUUGCAGUAUAGUACUGUAAGUCUGAAUAGUUGGGGUUAAACAUUCAGAGGGCAUUUGUUGAAAAAGAUCUAUGGCUCUGUCCACUUUCUUCUUUCUACAGUACCCGUUGAUGAGGAUAUUAUAGAUAAAAGCAUCAAGCAAUAUUCCCUUUCUAGUCAUGCUUUCGAACACUAGUAAAGCUUUAUUAACCUCUCCCUGCAAGCAGUAUCCAUCCAUUAGUGAAUUGUAAGUGACUACAUUAGGAUAAUGGCCUCUUUGAGUCAUCAACUCUAUCACAUCCUCUGCAUCUUCAAUCAUUCCUUCUUUGCAAUACGCAUCAAUCAAUAUACUGUAAGUAAAAACAUUUUGAGAAAUGUUCCUAAGAUCCAUCUCCUUGAGCAAUUGUUUGACAUCAUGCCAUCGAUUAAAGUCACACAACCCUUGAAUUAAAGAGCUGUAGGUCAUAACAUUUGGUGAUAUGCCUUUCCUUGUCAUUUGGUGGAGAAGACCCAAUGCUUGAUCGAUUAAUCUAUGUUUACACAAACAGUCAAUAAUUGUGGUGUAAGUUACAGUAUUAGGCCUGCAACCUUUCUUCUCCAUAAUUUUAAACAACUUAACAGCCACAGAAGGAUUCCCUCUCUUGCAGAUGCCGUCAAUGAUAAUUGUAUAGGUAACAACAUCGGGUUGAAUAAGUUGAAAUCUGAUGAGGUUCUGGAACAAAAGCUGAGCCUCUUGAAGCAUAUCUUGGGAANUAGAGUGUUAUAAGUAAACACGUCAGGGACAAAACCGUGCUUGAUGAUUCCAGCCAGUAAUGAAAAGGCAAAAUCGACACGAUCCAAGUGACAAAAACAGUUGAUAAUAGUAUUAAAGGUAAUUACAUUAACAGGGACGCUUUCUACACACAUCUUUCUAAAAACGGACACAGCUACAGAGUAGUCUUUCAUCUUAACAACAGCAGCUAAGAGUUGAUUGAAUUUAGGAACAGGGAGCAUUUUAUCAAACACCUGAAGAGCAUCAUCGAGUUUAUCGAAACCAACCUUUGAUUUCUCAUAAAGUAAUUGCUGAAGUCUCGCAUGAGAUGUAUUGGGAAAAUGAGGAACAUAGGGGUGUUUGGGGUUAGGUUUAGUGGAGAACAUACGAAAAUGAGCAUUGAAUUGAAACAAUGCGAGAGAACUAGUAGUUGCAGACUCAGCUGCAGAUCGUAGAAAUGGUAGCAUUGGUCUUAAGGAAGCCAGACUCCUCAUCGUUGCUCUCACUUCUUGCCGGUGCUCUCACUUCACUGGGUUGAGUUGCCCAGAACACAAAAUAUGACGGAAGAAUGGGAUCUACUCAAGUUACAAAUUACAAAUUAAUAGCUUAUAACCCGUGAUUGUUACUCCUUCUGUUCUUUUUUAUUAGUCGUUUUGACUUUUUACACGUAUUUUGAGAUAUAAUAAAAACGUAUUUUUACAUUUUUAUUUUUUAAAUUUAAGGAUACCUAUAAACCUGGAUAUAAACCAACCGAUCAACCUUUUGAUAUUCGUUAUUAAUAAUUAAUAAUAUAAUAUAAAACAUAUUAUAAGUUAAAAAGACGCGUAUACCCAAAUACCGAUCCAUCAUACUAACCUAAUUUUUAAUGUUUUGUUUUAAAAGAUAAUAAUAAAAUAUAGUAUAAUAUUUUAUUAAUUAUAAACGUUCAUGGGUCGAAUACUAACCGGCUCACCAAACUCGAGUGACCGGGCCGAACAAUUGACCAACUGAACUUUUCAUGUUUCGGCUUUAAUGGUAUGAUAAUAUAAUAGUAUAAUAUAGAUUUAUAAUAUUACUUUUAAAGUGAGACUAUUAAAGUAUUUUAAAAUAAUGUUAAAGUAGCCCUUGUUAAUUAUAGAAGCUCGGCUUUUUAGUUAGAAAAUCUAAAAAAGAUAAUGUGUUUUAGUUAAAAAGGUAAUUACUAUGUUGCUCGAUGUUAUUUUAAAAGAUUGGGUUUUUUUAUUUUGAAAAUAUAAAAAAGAUGAUACUUGAUGUUAUUUUGAAAGAUUGAGUUUUUUUAUUUAGAAAGUAUAAAAAAAUGAUAUAUUUUAGUUAAAAAAAUAACUGGUUAUAUAGAUAGGCCCGUAUUUUGGCCCAAGUACCGACCGACCAAACUUUUAAUGUUUGAGCUUUAAUAGUACUAGCUUAUAGCCCGUGCAAGGCACGGGAGCUUUUUAAUUAUAUAUAAACUUUUUAAAUAUAUUUUAAAUGGUGUGAAGAAAUUUAAUUUAUAAAUAAUAAAUUAAAAUUCGAAAUUAUAAUUUGUUUGUAAGUUAGAACUGUGGUAAAUACAUCAUCACAACCAUUAAUGGCUUCAAAUAAACUAUUGUAAUGAAGUCAUUCCUUUUCUCGUAUGUACCCUGCCAAAGUAUUAAAUUCUUUCUAUCAAAUUUUAAUAUAUUUUGAGUGGAAUACGUUAUUGGCAACUCUUAUUAGAUUAUAUUUAUAAAUGUAUUUUAUAUUAGAAUUAUUAUAGUGUGAUUUAAAUAGCCCGCAAGGGUUGGUUUAGCUGGUUAAAGAGAGGACAUGCAUCCUCUUGCGCACCCGAAGGGUAGCGGCUGCGGGUUCUUAGGUUAAAAAAAUAAAUAAGAAAAUAUAAUGUGAUUUAAAUAUUUUUCAAAAAAUUUAUAUGGUUCUAAAUUAAAAUUGAUAAACAUAAUUUGUUUUUGAAUUAAGAAAAAGAAUCAUAAACAUGCAAUAAGAAGGUAGAAUCUAUUUUGGAUUAAGAAAAAGUUUUUGUAUUUGCUAAUCACAUAAAUACGGCUUAUUAAUUUUAGAAUAUAUUAUAAAAAAAAUUGUGACGGUUCGAUUUAUAUGAUUCUACGAAUAAAACUGGUAGGAAAUAUUUAUUUGGUAUUAAAAAAAUCAAAUACACGUGAAACACAGAAUUUGUUUUGGAUUCAGAAAAGGAAUUAUAAACAUGCAAGGUGAUCUAUCAGUUGCCUUGUAGAACAGAAGUUAAUUUUCCAAUCUAACGGUGCUUAUUUGUUCAAUAUAAGAUCCAACGGAUGAUAAGCUUUUGUACCAGAGGACCAUGCGACCAAAUUAUCUCCCUUACGCUUAUUAUAUAUAAGUAUAUAAUAAUAGUAAGUAUAGAUAGGCCUGUAUUUUGGUCCAAGUACCGACCGACCAAACUUUUAAUGUUUCGGUUUUGAUAGUAUAGUAUAGAUAGAUAUCUCAUUGUAUAACUUUUACGUGUUAAAUUUAUAUAAAUAUAAAAAUUAAUAUAUAACUUUUUAUUUGAAAUUAUACCAUACCAUACCACACGUAAAAAAUAUUUUGGUGAAGUCCCGUGGAGUAAACGAAUGGAGUCAAGAACCAUCACUCACAAAUGGCAAGAUUGAGCAGAAAUCAAGAACGUUCACUUUCACAUAUUGUAAGGUUGAAGGCUUGGGAGACAAGAGAUCGGUUCAAACUUCUUCCUAAAAUCAUACUCCCUCCGUUCCAUAAUAAGAGUCGCUUUGAUUUUUUACACGUAAUUUGAGGUGUAAAAAAAUAUGUCUCUACAUAUUAUUUUUCAAAUUUUCUUUUUUUGAAUAAAAAUAUAGAUGUUAAACUUUUAUUCAGAAAAAGAAAUUUUGAAAAAAUAAUAUUUAGAGAUAUGUUUUUUAACACCUCAAAUUACGUGAAAAAAAGUCAAAGCGACUCUUAUUAUGGGACGGAGGGAGUAAUACUCAAAACAUUAAAUGCGUCGAAAAGUAACAUUCGGUAUAUGGUAUGUCGUGUGUUACCACAAAUCCAACGCAACAUGUGCAAUUCUGUUGUCUCUGGUCGACGCUCGAGGCUUUUGAGUUUUUCAAAAUGGCUGACACUCAAAUCAUAUAGUAAUGACGAUAUGAUUGCCACUCGAUAAAAUUUACCUUUCAACUACAAAAGUACAUUUUUUAAAUCAUCAUAUACAUGUAUCUCAAUUUUUUUGAUUUUACAAUUUAUCUCAUUUUUUCUUUUUAAUCAAUUUAUAACUUUUUUACUAACAUUAUACUUUCUCCGUUUUAGUAUAAUACUCCCCGUGACGCUUUUUAGUUGUCAUGUUUGAAUUUUGACAAGUCAAAUUGACCAAAAUUUGACUAAAUUUAUUAAUAUUUUAUUAAUUAAUAAAAUAAUAAAUGUCACCGAAAAUAACUUUCAAUCUACUUUGAUAUGUAAUUUUCCAGUAUUUUAAAAUAAUAUAAGAGGUACUUAUAAUUUUUGAUCAAAAACUAGUAAAUUUGAUCAAUAAAAUAAAAAUGGGACAACUAAAAAGAGACAGAAAGAGUAGUUUUAAGAACAGAGCAACAUCGGUCUUCUAAUUAAUAUUUUAAAAUUUUAGGUGCGUAAUUAAAUUUAGUUGGGUGGAAACUGAACCUGUGAAAGGUUACCUUAGCUAUUCUCGCUGCUCAUAACAUUUAAACUAUAUGUUGAUAUAUAGGGUAAGGCUCAAAUUGGAACCAAUACUAGUAUUAAAAUUAGAACUUAGGAACACACCCGGAACUUGGGAACACACAUGCUUUGAUUGAAAUUUAUACGUAUUAUAUAACUAAAUAAUAAUAAUAAUUGGGUUGAUAAAUUUGCAUGAGCAUUGUUGAAUUUAUAAUAUACAAAAUGCUUUUACUAUAGCAGUAACUGAGUGAACCAGGACACAUUGCUGUACCCAAGUUAGUCAUCAUCUCCAGCUCCGUCGAACACUUCUGCAUCUCCACCACCCAAAUCUUGAUCCCAAGUUAGUCAUCGUCUCCAGCUCCGUCGAACCCUUCUGCAUCUCCCCCACCCCAAUCUUGAACAUCUGCUGGCCCAUCAUCGACAUUAACAUCUAUAGCCAUGUCGAAACCAAUAUCAUCAUUAGGGACUUCCUGCAGUUCUGGCAAUGUUUGCCUCACUGAAAAAAUCAGCAUACGGCUUCGAAACCUGAUCAGAGAUAUAAAAUUUAUAAAAUUCUUAAUUAUAUACGCUCCAUUGUUGUAGAAACAAUAAUCUUGAGAUACCAUAUUUGUAUAUACGCCAUGCCAAUUGCCACAUCUUAAUAAAACUGUAACUAGAAAUUUCAUUCUCCAUUCUUGUCUUUAGCCAAAUAAGGAAAAAUUUAAAUGUUCACUUAAAUUUUCAAAAUUCAAAUCAGUUGAUGUAGAUGUAGUCGAAGAAGAUAUAGAAACUUUGUUUCUGAGUGAUGGUAAAGGAGAUGAGUCUAAAAAGAUUUAACCACCUUAUAAAGAGCAGUCCUCUUUUCUGCACUCGAUGAGAUUCCUCUUUUCUGCACUCUCGAUGAGAUUCUUCCAGUGCUCGUCUUUUCUCAAAGUUGAAGCAGAACCCACAACCUGAAUAAACAAAGAGGCAGCUGCUGUUAUAUAAGCAAAGCUAUAUAAGUGUACUGUAUACAGUUCUGAAAAAAAUUAAAAUAAGCGCUUCAAAUUUAUUACCCAAACAGAAGACCUUGCUCUGGUAAUUCCGACAUUCAUUCUCCGAGAAUCAGAAACAAAUCCGAUGCCUUUAUCUUUGCUUGCCCUGACACAUGAAAAUAUAGCAACAUCUUUUUCUCUUCCCUGCAUUCGGAACACGAUACAUUUAACAAAAUUUACAACUUUUAGAACGAGGAAUACAAGUAAUGCGCAAGAUGCAUCCGGUGAUUAUAAAUUCAAAUAAAAUCUCAAGACGAAUAUAGAGCCGUAUUAAUCUCAACCAAUGAAUAGUAAAUUUUUAUUUCGAAGAGAAUAAAUUUGUUAGCAAAUCAAAGAACCAUAAAGUGAAAAAUUGCCUAAACAUGAAGCGGAAAGAAAUUUUUUUACUUUUACCUGGAAUCCAUCCACAGUGUUGAUGUCUACAAACUUCUUUGAAUCUUCACCAAAGGCAUCCUUGAACUUAUCACGGAAGAGGCUUACUUGAGAUCUAUAGGGAGAUAUUAUAGCAAUUUGAGAGCUCGACUUGAGCUCUACAAAUCUAGCUAAUAACUUGUGAUACAUAAGCACAACAAACUCAGCCUCGUCAACAUUUUCCCAAGAGCGGGACUCUUUUCGCUCAUGUAAAUCAAAAAAACAGAAAGAACCAAAGCAGCUGUAUAUGUGCCAUGCACGUCUAGUUUCACUUUCAACAGCAGGACCUAGCAUAAAAGUAUCCUAACCUAAAUUUAGAUGUACUGAGUAUACACUCUCACACACUCAAGUAAAUAUCUAUAAUCUUCCACAGAUAUACUACAAUGUGUUCCACUAGAAUUUUCAAGGGAACUUAGAUAUAAGAUAUGUCUGCCAAGUUAAUGAAGAGCUGAUGUCCCCAAAAGGAGGUAAAAGAGACAAAAGUAAGGGAAGAACCAGUGGCGGACCAUGAACUGUAAUAAGCGGGCUAAGUGUACUUUUAAGAAAUCACGGAUGAGAAAAAAACAUUUCAAUACAUUAACAUUAACAUCAUUCAAAUUCAUUACAUAUAAUAUAAAAACAAUUAUUACCAUGACAUUCUUCUAGGUGCCAUAUUUUGAAAUCUCAUUAUAAUGUCUUUGACAUCAAUUGAAUUUUUGGGGGGUUAAUUAAUUUUUUACAAUUUAAGGUUCAAGGUUGAUUAUAUCUUCUCCGUGAUCUAUCAGAAGUUAGUUAAGCUUAUUGUGAUACUUAGUUGAAAAAUCAAAAAGAUUAUGUACCUGAGAACUCUCUCCUUCGUUACACCUACGGCAAGUAUUUCUUGCACAAAGCAAGGGGAGCAGGAUCCUGUUCUUGCACAUCAAGUAAAUCCAGUAAAACAGAUGCAGUAGAUGCAUCUGCUGCAAAGCCGCGACCAAGCAUUUCAUCCAUGAGUACACCUGCUUCAUAGUAAUUCUUAUUCUGUAAACAACCGCGGAUAAGCAUGUUGUAUGUGACAUCACUAGGCAAGCAAUCAUGAGCUUCCAUUUCCCUGAAUAGUUCAUUUGCUUCAUCCAAUAACCCUUCAUGACAAUAUGCUUGGAUCAUCACUGUGUAUGUCUUGACAUUAGGUCGCAAACCUUUCGCAGGAAGGUUGUCAAAAAGGCUUCUUGCAUUCUCGAGGUGUCCAUUUUUGCUUAGUCCAUCAAUCAGAAUAGUGUAAACCUGUAUAUCAGCAACUAACCCACUGGACUCUAGUAUUUGAAAAAACGAUAGUGCUUCAAAUACAUAACAAUUCUGGCAAAGACCAUGCAACAAGAUACGACAUGUCACAUUAUUUAACUCAACACCUUGGUUAAUCAUCUUUUCCAUAAAAAACUUACGUGCUUCAACAUGCCUGCCCACAUGAAAAAAACCUUGCAGUAUAGUACUGUAAGUCUCAAUAGUUGGGGUUAAACCUUCAGAGGGCAUUUGUUGAAAAAGAUCUAUGGCUAUAUCCACUUUAAACUUUUUACAAUAACCGUUGAUGAGGAUAUUAUAGCUAAAAGUAUUAGGCAAUAUUCCCUUUCUCUUCAUGCUUUCAAACACUGCUAAUGCUUUAUCAACCUCUCCUCGCAAGCAGUAUCCAUCCAUGAGUGAGCUGUAAGUGACUACAUUCUCCAUUCUUGUCUUCUAGCCAAAUAAGGAAAAAUUUAAAUGUUCACUUAAAUUUUUAAAAUUCAAAUCAGUUGAUGUAGAUGUAGUAGAAAAGGAUAUCGAAACUUUGUUCUGAGUGAUGGUAAAGGAGAUGCAAAGCAAAUUUAGUCUAAAAACAUUUAACCACCUUAUAAAGAGCAUUCCUCUUUUCUGCACUCUCGCUGAGAUUCCUCUUUUCUGCACUCUCGGUGAGAUUCUUCCAGUGCUCGUCUUUUCUCAAAGUUAGAGCAGAACCCACAACCUGAAUAAACAAAGAGGCAGCUGCUGUUAUAUAAGCAAAGCUAUAAGUGUACUGUACACAGUUCUGAAAAAAAAAAAAAAUAAGCGCUUCAAAUUUAUUUCCCAAACAGAAGACCUUGCUCUGGUAAUUCCGACAUUCAUUCUCCGAGAAUCAGCAGAAAAUCCAAUGCCUUUAUCUUUGCUUGCCCUGACACAAGAAAAUAUAGCAACAUCUUUUUCUCUUCCCUGCAUUAGGAACAGGAUACAUUUAACAAAAUUUACAACUUUUAGAACGAGGAAUACAAGUAAUGCGCAAGAUGCAUCCGGUGAUUAUAACUUCAAAUAAAAUCUCAAGACGAAUAUAGAGCCAUAUUAAUCUCAACCAAUGAAUAAUAAAUUUUUAUUUUAAAGAGAAUACAUUUGUUAGCAAAUCAAAUAACCAUAAAGUGAAAAAUUGCCUAAACAUGAAGCGGAAAGAAAUUUUUUUACUUUUACCUGGAAUCCAUCCACAGUGUUGAUGUCUACAAAUUUAUUUGAAUCUUCACCAAAGGUAUCCUUGAACUUAUCACGGAAGAGGCUUACUUGAGAUCUAUAGGGAGAUAUUAUAGCAAUUUGAGAGCUCGACUUGAGCUCUACAAAUCUAGCUAAUAACUUGUGAUACAUAAGCACAACAAACUCAGCCUCGUCAACAUUUUCCCAAGAGCCACUAUUUGAAGGCUGGGACUCUUUUCGCUCAUGUAAAUGAAAAAAACAGAAAGGACCAAAGCAGCUGUAUAUCUGCCAUGCACGUCUAGUUUCACUUUCAACAGCAGGACCAUCCUCCAAGGCCUACUUGUAGAAUUCUUUAGAAGGAAAGCCUCUUAUCUGCAAGCAGAUACACUUGUGUACAGUAAUAUUAUACAGAUGAUAUAAGAUAUCAACAGCCCUUUUUUAUAUAUUAAAAAUAAAAUAAUAUACACUUAUAGAAUUGGCAGUGCUUGGGGCAGCUAUAUGUUGCAGCUCUGAGACAACCGACAAGUCAAACAAAGAUAUAAAGAUACAAGUCUUCAUGGUAGUUUGGUCCUUAACAUCUGUACCGGAUACCCCACUUCUUGAAAUCUCUUAAACAAGCUCAUCCUGUACCUAUUCAAUAGUGUUAGGGAAAAAAUUAUGCAACAUAAUUACAUAAGAUGAAGAUGAUGAUUGAUAAACCACCAUGUUUAAAACUAGUUUAUACACUACUUUGAACAUAUAUGCAUUCCUUACUUAAAUUUCUCGGCAACAGGAGAAAUCACAGUGGCUGGAGGUUGAAGAGGAUCACCAACCUAAUUAGAUAAGAAAUGAUGUCUGAGAAAGUAAUCUCAAAACAGAAGUGGUAAAAUUUAUCAGCUAGCAAAUUGAUAUAACCAAAUUGGCAUAAUAUAAACCUUUUAUCUUCACUUCCUAGUUGCCAAAAGAUUAUGACAAAGUGUUUAGAACGGAUCGAGUGUUCGGCACGUAUUUUUAUAUGAGUUUUAAAAUGUGUGCCGAGCACUCCAUUCCAAACGAUAAGAAUUGAGGGGAUGGAGAGAGUAUAUUCUAACGAGAAUGAUGGUCUCUUUCACAUAAAUCCUAAAAUAUUGGUAACUAUUAAAAAAAUCUUAAAUUAAUAAUUAAAACACAAAUUAUCAAUUUAGUCAUUUUUUCUAUUUAUUUUUUUUGAGAAACUUAUGGAAAUAAUAUAUAUUCAUAUAUAUGACCUAGGAAGCAUGAGUGCGGGUGCGGGAGUGCGGGUGCGCAGUACGUGGAUACGGGAAUUCGUCAAAUUCCAAAAUAUGGGGAUACGGGUACGGGGGGAUACGGCAAAUAUUAAAAUAUUAAAAAUAUUAUAUAUAUAUAUCUAUGUUUGUGUAAAAUAACCCUUACCUUAUAAGGCAGGGUUCUGCAGCAGAACUUAAGUAUGAGUUAGGGUUCUGCAGCAGAACUUCACAUGCAAAAAAUGUCAAUAUCUAUGUAUUAGAUUUUAGAAUUAUUUUUGAACACACACAACGAUGAAAAAAUAUGAAAAAAACAUGUAUUUAGAUUUAGAUCCUAAAAAUCUAUUUAAAAUUUAGGGUUCCGCAGCAGAACCUUGGUGGUUCUAUGGUUCUAUUUUAAGGACUGGUUCUCUACACACACAUGAGCAAUUAUAUAUACUUACAAUCUAUAGACACACAUGAGCAGAUAUUGCAGAAAACACACUUACCAAUCGACAUACUUGAGCUGGAGAUGCUCUGCUCUCUCUCGUACAGGUACUCAAUUAGUCUAAUUAGGUUUUGAUCCCUCUUUUCUUUCUUUUGACCAACUAAUUUUAAGUUUUUUUUUAUAAAAAAAAAGUUGUUAAAAAUUACGAUUUGUGCCACUGCCGCACCCCAUCCCCGCACCCCCGCGUAUCCCCAUCGCUGCCUCCAUCGAUACGCCAUGUGGCGUAUCCCGCCGCACCCCCGCACCCCCAAGUAUCCCCUACGCAGUUCUUUACCCAGAUGAAGUAUCCCUGCUUUCUAGUAUAUGACUAUCAAAACGAGCCUCUAUUGAAAACAGUAAGUUAACCGCUUCGAUAAAAGUUGGAUGAAUUUAAUGUGACGUUUGAAUAUUAUUAGUGACCUUUUUGACAUAAAUAGUUGUAAAAGAAAAUGAUCUUCGGUCUUGUAGAUAAAAAUAUUUUAAAUAUUUGUUCGAAUAAAAAGAAAUUAUUAAAUAUUAUAUUAUUAUUUUAUAAUUUAAUUGCAUUUAGAUUUUUGGGAUUGUCCCAUGUUCCCGAGACGUCCUCAAACUUGUGCAACAAUUGUUUGGCCUUACUGGGCAACAUACGUUAUAAUCCAAAUUAUUAUAGUUUUCAAGCAUGGCCUCAAGUUCUCUCACCAGGAGUACCAUUUGUGUUUUCUGUUUGUACUUACCGGCUUAGAAUACGGAUAAUAUGUGUGUGAGAGAUAAAGCAAGUCCGGUGCGGAACUCAACUGCUGAUGUGGAAGAGAAAGACUGGGACCUGUAUUGUUUAGGUGGCAAGGAAAAAAAAAAUGAAUGACAGAGCACUUGGGUUCAGCAUUUCACAGCACUUGCUCUUAGUUCCCAAAGAUGAAAAGUGUUUCUCAGUUUCACUAUUAGCUUAUAACUCAAUGCUUUAAAGUUUAAGGCUAAUUAUAUCUUCUUCUUGAUCUAUCUUAUCCGAUAUGUUAGUCUCAUGCAAGUCCCUGUAACAACAUUGCAAAUAUAUUUAAGAACUUACUGGGAUCGCAGAUCCGGUAUGUCAGAUUCAGAAUUGCAAAAUCCUUUGAAAAGCAUACAAUAUCCACAAAGUUACGAGCUGAAUACCGCUGUAGGGAUGUAUACAAUUGUAUCCACUGUGUUGCCUUAAUCUUGCAUCUUACUCUAAAAACCAACAAAAAGUUCCACCCAGCUGACAUUAAAGACCUGGGCUGACUGGUCUGAUCAGCCGUUCAAGUUCUUUAUCUGAGAGCACUGGCCAGGUGAAUGGUUCUGCAAUGCACUGAGUAAGUCUGCAGACUCGGAAUCAGAUGACCUCAACUAAGGUCAUCAGAGGUCAGUAUCUAAGAGUAGUAAGAGAGGUGAUAUAGUGAAGAAGAUAAAUUAGAAGUCCAUGACCAGGGACGGAUUAUAGGAUGCACAAGACACUCGCUGCAAGCAAGGAACUCGCUCCACCUAGCCCCAUCGGCAAGGCUUCAUAAAGCCACGAAAAACAUCAUAUAUAUUUCCUGAGUUCGAAACCUUACUCUCUCCCAAAAUACUUGAUAAAAUAAUCCAUCAAAAUAUAGGUACACAUCCAAUAUACAUUAGCAUUGUGCUUCACUUAUGAAUAGUUUACAGUUUGUCGAGGCUGCCAAUCUCUCUAGUCUCUUUAAUUGAUUUGCAGUUCUUUCUUUUUUUGCUAAAUCUAUUCAACUCAGUGGCUUAGAAUUUUAAACGGACUACUAUCCUGCAGCAUUAGCCAAUUCAAGACUACUUAAUUCUUGAUAAAAGUGGUAACCGAAGUUACCUAUGGAAAGAAACCCAUACACAUACAAGCUCUUUUACUCAUUGCGCUGAUAAUUUCAGACUGCAGUUAAGCUAUAUUAAGCCUUUUAGUUAUUUCAUGUAAUAAAGACAUUAAGAUAAAUCAACAUUCUAUAGACAAAAAGACGAUGUAGUGCAGAGGAGCUCCAUUCUUAACUUUAAAUUCAACAAAAUUAUAUCAAAAUAACACCCAAUCAUUUGUGAUCAAUCAGAGAAGAACUGCAAAUUUAACAACAAUGCAUUUGAAAUGAGUGCUGCUAGGGUUGCAGACCCUUGAAAUUAAAAUGUUGGAAAAUUGAAGAUUAUGUACCUAAGCAAUCCUCACUUUGCUUGACCUAUGGCAGAUACUUCUUAUGCAAAGCAAGAAGAGCAGGAUCCUGUUCUUGUGAUUCAAGUAGGUCCGGUAACAAGGAGGCGGUAGAAUGUAGAUGCAGUAGCUGAGAAGCCCCAAGCACGCAUCUCAUAGGACACGGCUUCAGCAUACUUCUUAUUGUAAAAACAGACACAAUAAGUGUGUCAUAGGUAACAUCAGUCGACAAACAACCAUUAAAAGUCCACCAACAAUUCAUACGCCUCAUGGAGUAAUCCCUCUACACAUACUGCUUGUAAGAAAAUAACAUUGCAAUAUAGUACUGUAACUCUCAAUAGUUGCUUUGAAACCUUCAAAAAUGCUGGCAAAAUCGAAAAUAUUAUGUACCUGAGAACUCUCUCCUUCAUUACACCUACGGCAAGUACUUCUUGCACAAAGAAAGCAGAGCAGGAUCCUGUUCUUGCACAUCAAGUAAAUCCACAAAAACAGAUGCAGUAGAUGCAUCUGCUGCAAAGCCGCGACCAAGCAUUUCAUCCAAGAGUACACCUGCUUCAUAGUAAUUCUUAUUCUGUAAACAACCACGGAUAAGCAUGUUGUAUGUGACAUCAUUAGGCAAGCAUUCAUUAGCUUCCAUUUUCCUGAAUAGUUCAUUUGCUUCAUCCAAUAACCCUUCAUGACAAUAUGCUUGGAUCAUCAUUGUGUAUGUCUUGACGUCAGGCCGCAAACCGUUCAAAGGAAGGUUGUCAAAAAGGCUUCUUGCAUUCUCGAGAUGUCCAUUUUUGCUUAGUCCAUCAAUCAGAAUAGUGUAAAUCUGUAUAUCAGGAACUAACCCACUGGACUCCAGUAUUUGAAGAAAGGAUAGUGCUUCAAAUACAUAAGAAUUCUGGCAAAGACCAUGCAACAAGAUACGACAUGUCACAUUAUUAAACUCAACACCUUGGUUAAUCAUCUUUUCCUUAAAAAAUUUACGUGCUUCAACAUGCCUGCCCGCAUGAAAAAAACCUUGCAGUAUAGUACUGUAAGUCUCAAUAGUUGGCGUUAAACCUUCAGAGGGCAUUUCUUGAAAAAGAUCUAUGGCUCUGUCCACUUUCUUCUUUCUACAGUACCCGUUGAUGAGGAUAGUAUAGCUAAAAGUAUUAGGCAAUAUUCCCUUUCUCUUCAAGCUUUCGAACACUGCUAAUGCUUUAUUAACCUUUCCCUGCAAGCAGUAUCCAUCCAUUAGUGAAUUGUAAGUGACUAAAUUAGGAUAUACUCCUCUUUGAAUCAUCAACUCUAUCACAUCCUCCGCAUCUUCAAUCAUUCCUUCUUUGCAAUACGCAUCAACCAAUAUACUGUAAGUAAAAACAUCUCGAGAAAUGUUCCUAACAUCCAUCUCCUCGAGCAAUUGUUUGACAUCAUGCCAUCGAUUAUUGUCACACAGACCUUGAACUAAGGAGUUGUAGGUCAUAACAACGGGAGAUACACCUUUCCUUGUCAUUUGGUGGAGAAGACCCAAUGCUUGAUCAACUAAUCCAUGUUUACAUAAACAAUCAAUAAGUGUGGUGUAAGUUACGGUAUCAGGCUUGCAACCUUUCUUCUCCAUAAUUUUGAACAACUUAACAGCCACAGAAGGAUUCCCUCUCUUGCAGAUGCCGUCAAUGAUUAUGUUAUAGGUAACAACAUCGGGUUGAAUAAGUUGAAAUCUGAUGAGGUUCUGGAACAAAAGCUGAGCCUCUUGAAGCAUAUCUUGGGAAAUAAGGCCCCUGAUGAGAGUGUUAUAAGUAACCACAUCAGGGACAAAACCGUGCUUGAUGAUUCCAGCCANNNNNNNNNNNNNNNNNNNNNNNNNNNNNNNNNNNNNNNNNNNNNNNNNNNNNNNNNNNNNNNNNNNNNNNNNNNNNNNNNNNNNNNNNNNNNNNNNNNNNNNNNNNNNNNNNNNNNNNNNNNNNNNNNNNAGUAAAUGUUGAAGACGAGCGUGAGAUGGAUCAGAGGAAUAAGGGAAACGGGGUUUGGGUUUAAAGGGAAUAUUAGGGUUAGGGUUAGUGGAGAAGUGAGAAACUGCAAUAACAGAAUGUCUUAGGAAUCGAGAAUUUGAGAUGACAAAUUUCUUCAUCGUCGUCAUCAUCAUGAUAUCUAUACUUGUUGGACACUCAAAAAAUUAGCCGGCAGAGCAGAGCAGAUGAUAUCAAUUCUUUUCAAUAGUGAUCGAAACUGAAUCACAGUAUAAACGGCGAAAACUUAGAACUAAUCAACAAGAAACAAAACAAACAACACUUGGCAGUUUUUCGUAAAACAGAUGGAAGAAACCCUAACUUGGGCAACUUGAACGUGUAUAUCUCUUUUUAAUUUUAACCUAUUUAGUUCAAAACAAACAACAAGAUAGACAAUAUAGUUUUUCUUAUAAAUGAUGAAAUUUAAAUUAUGAUAUAAAUAUUUAUUAAAAAACACAUUAUCACAUAUGUAUAUUCGAAAAACAUUUACACAUAGAUAAUAAAAAUAUUUUAUUAUUUAUAUUACGUAAUAACAAUAUGUAUAAAAAUACUGUAAAAGUUAAAUUUUUAAGAGGAAAUAUAAUCAAGUAUAAUAUGAUAUAAUCAAUUCAUUAUCAUAGAACUGAACGUGCAAAAAAUGACAGCAUCCAAUAGUAUUAAACAAAUAAUAAAUAAGGUUAAAUAUUAACGGGAAAAUAGAUAUUUUUGUCACUCAACUUAUUGUGUAUUUAGAAAUUUACGACCCAAUUAUAAUUUUUUUUAUUUUACUCACUGAUGUUAGGUUCGGAUUAUUUUUUUUGCCACUAAAGUUAGGUUUACCUUUGAUUUAUUAACAUUAUAUUAAUUUUUUGUAGCAUUAUUAAAAUGUAGUGGUAAUCUGGAAUAUUUUGAUAAUUUGAUAUAUGUCUAUUAACUUGUUAUAUACCUAAUAUUGUUUAGGUGAUAAGAGUUUGACAAACAUUUUAUGGCUUCUAAAAAAUGUAGUUUAAAAUCCCCAUAACAUAUUGUUCACGCAGUAAGUAAUUUUUGGAUAAAUAUACUGCACAAAUGGCUUCAAAUAUAUGUUUUGGUAAUUGAAAGGAGCCGGCAUGAAGGAGAAAAGUAACAUUUCACAAAGACUUGCAAAUGCAUUUGCCUCUCACCUAAAUAAAAUAAGCUGGAUGCAUCUUUUAAACAUAGUUCAAAGGAAGCAUAUUUUUUCAUGACAAGCAUAAACAUUAUAAUCAUAAACAUUGUCUGCACAAGGCCAUAGUUUGUGUUUUGAUCGAAGAUAAGAAUCUUAUAGAGUCAAAUCAAACUUGUAAGUUUGCAUGCAAUUCUAUUCUAACAUUCUUACAUAAUAUCUGGCAAGUCUGUGUCAUUAAAAUUUACUGGAAAUGAAAGUGUUUGCAUAUCUUUACACAAAAUGUGUAGACGUAAAUUGUAAAGUUGUAAUCACAUAUCAUUAAAAUAUCCCAUCUAGUUCAGGAACAACCCGUACACAUUGGGGACAACACAUGUUAGUGUGUUGCUUGGUAGAUUUUGAGAUAAAUCGGUGUUAAACAUUUCAGAUUUAUUUGUAAAAAACUGCAUUCGUAAUGGCUAUUUACAUCCUCUCUCACAGGAAUUUCUACCUCGGAGAUUUAUUUGAUAGAAAGCUCUUUUGCAUAGGUCUCAUUUGCAGUGACAUAAUGCUUUGCAGUAGGAGCCAAUAAGGAGUCUGUCUUGCCAUUUGAUCAUCUAGACAACUUUUCUUUGAGGGCGUUCAAAGGUGCGUAAUCAACAUUAAAGUAUGAUGAUCCUUGUUGCAUCUGUGCUUGACAAUGUAUCAUUGUGGGUGAGUCUGCAAUAUUAGCAGUAAAUAAUUGGUUACAACUAUAUCAUUAGAAAAAAGCAUUUGAGUUGUUGGUGUUCAUAUUUUAACAUUUGUAACUAAAGCAUGGUUGUCAUGUCGGUCGACUAGUCGCGACUAGUCGACUAAGCGGUGAAUGGAUGUCGACUCAACUUGUCGACUAGCAGAAUGUUGAUAUUUCGGUCGACUAGUCGACUAGGCGAGCUGCUAAAUUUUCGGCUUUGGUUGUCUCUGAUUAUAUUUAUGCUCUGUUUUUCUGCAAUCUGCACAAUAAGUUCUGCAUAACUCUCUAUGUAUUAUCUGCACAUAUUUGUUGUAUAUCAGUUGUUAUAUAUCAGUUGUUACAUAUUUUACUUUGUUUUAUUGUUAUUUGUUAACUCUUUUUGCUUUUCCAUCAUUCCCCUUAAGUUUCUGAUUCUUAAUUCCUUAGAAUCUGAAAUAAAACAUUGUGGAAGGUGUUAGAACUUAAAAAUCUAAUUUACAUGAUAUGUGUGUGUGUGUCUAUAUAAUAUAUUAUUUUUUAAAUUUAUAAUAAUAUUUUUUUUUUGUCGACUAGUCUACGACUUGUCAACGACUAGUCGACUAGUCGAUUAGACGGAGGUCCAUCAACUCGCCUCGACUCAUCGACGUGACAACCAUGAAUUAAAGGUUAAUAUUUUACAAGACUUGUAGACAUCUAGGUAAGUUGUAUUAUUGAGCCUGUCACCUGAGAACUUUUUUGCCAGCAGUCUAACAAAAGUAGCCCUCUCUUCCACGUCCAUGAUUAAAGUCAUGGAUUGGAGUGUAUAUGUAGAAAUGUAUUUUCCUAUAUCUCAUUGAUGUAUAAUGUAUACAAUAUAUAGCAGACUACCAAUAGCUAUCAUAGGCGACAUUACAGGAGAUAUUAACAAGUACAGUAAACUGAAGCAAUUACUGUAGAAUCAAAACUGAUCCUAAACUAAAGCUAUUUUUGAAUUCAUAUAAUAUCAUAUCUGUACUUUAAGUGAUAUGCUGAUUUUGUGGGAUUGCUUUAACAGCCCCCCGCAAACUGGACGAUCUUUGAUGGAAAAGUUUGUGAGUGAGAAGAGAAUGUCGGUGUUUAUGAAGAGGCUUGGUAAGGUGGUCAGCUGGUUGAUCAACAGAUGGAAUGUAACACACACGAUGACUACCAGCAGCAACUUUUUCGCGAACAAAAUGGUAAUCUAAUUCAAUAUGUUUGGUCCGGGCAUGAAAAACUGGGUUAGAGGCCAUGUAUGUUGCACUUAAGUUAUCACAGUGAAGAAGGAUAGGAAACUGCACCUUAGUUCCAAGUUCGUGUAGUAAGAAAGCCAACCAAGUGGUUUCUACACUAGCAUGUGAAAGGGCUCUGUAUUCAGAUUCAGCACUUGAGCGAGCAAUUGUAGGUUGCUUUUUGGAGCACCAAGAGAUCAGAUUAGUGCCGAUAUAACAAAGAUAAUCAGAUGUUGAUCUGCGAGUUUCUGGACAGCCUGCCCAAUCUGCGUCAGAAUAAGCACUGAUAUGCAGUGGUUGACACUGGGGACGAAUGAACAGGCCUUGAUUAAGAGUACCCUUGAUGUAUCGAAGUAUGCGCUUCGCAGCUAGUAAAUGAGAAGUGCGCGGAUGACUCAUGAACUGGGAAAUUGAGUUAACUGCAUAGGCAAUAUCAGGACGAGUUAUCGUCAAGUAUUGAAGAGAACCAACAAUUUCCCUAAAGGCAGUGGGAUUGGCAAGUAUGUCGCCAUCAUCAGAACUGAGAGUAGUUUUUGCUGACAUGGGAGUACUUACUGGUUUAGAAAGCAGCAUAUCGUGCUUGACUAGAAGAUCAUGAGCAUACUUAAGCUGACCAAUAUGUAGUCCAUCAUUUUGAUAACUUACUUGUAAGCCAAGAAAAUAAUUCAAAGGACCCAAGUCUUUGAUGUCAAAUUCACGACCAAGUACAUGAAUGAAUCUUUCCAGAAGGUUAUUGUCGCUGCCCGUAAUCACUAUGUCGUCCACAUAUAGCAGAAAGUAGAUUGUAUGGUUGUUAUGACGGAAUAUGAAGAGUGAGGGAUCAGCUAAGCUUUGAACAAAACCAGCAGAUUUGAGGAAAGUUUUCAUACGGCGAAACCAAGCACGGGGGGGCCUGUUUUAGACCGUAUAGCGCCUUGUGGAGCUUGCAAACAUAAUUGGGUCUAGAUGGAUCAACAAAACCAGGGGUUGAGCCAUGUAAACUUCCUCCUUUAGUAAUCCAUGUAGGAAUGCAUUUUUGACAUCUAAUUGUCGAAGUGCCCAUCCCCGAGAAAGCGCAAGACUAAGGACAGUCCUUAUAGUGGCCGGUUUGAUAACUGGGCUGAAUGUUUCUUCGUAAUCGAUGCCUUGUUGUUGAUGGAAACCUUUGGCAACAAGCCGAGCUUUAUACCUUUCAAUUGUGCCAUCCGGAUUACGCUUAGUACGAAACACCCAUUGGCAGCCGAUUGUGUUGUGAGAUGGUGAUGGAGGCACAAGAGUCCAAGUCUGAUUUUUCAUCAGUGCAUUAACUUCCUCUGUCAUAGCAUUGCGCCAAACUUCAUGUUUAGAAGCCUCUGUAUAACAUGUUGGUUCAGAAUUUUCCACAGCGGUAUGAAGAGCCUGAGGAAGGGGAUGUUUUACAGCUGUAGCCUAACGUUUGUUCUGCGGAAGUGUGCCAUCUUUAGAACAAGUUAUCAUUGGGUGUUGAGCAGAUGGAAGAGGGAGCAUUUGAGCCUCUGUUGGGGCUGAUUCAGAUGUCGUCGUGGUUUCUGUUGUCACCGAUGUCGGAAUUGAGACAGUUGUAGCUUUAUUACGACGUUGAUAUGUGAGCACAGGUGGUGGAUCAUUUGAAGUUUGUGCAACUGAAUUAGUAGCUGGCAAUAAUGGUGAUUGAGACACUUCAUUAGUGCGGGGAGAAGACUCUGUGGAUGGAGUAAUGUGAUCUGGAUGUGAAAAUCCUUCUGAUGGCCUCAAGAAAGAGGCUGGGCUCGGUAAAAGAGCAAAUUCCAAUGGACCAGGUGCCUGUACCUGCAUAUUUUUGUAAGGGAAACAAGUUUCGUUAAAAAUGACAUGUCUGGACACAUAAAGACGACUAGUCUUGGGAUCAAGACAUCUAUAACCCUUAUGUUGUGGACUAUAUCCCAGGAAGACACAUUCAAUACUCCGACUGGAUAAUUUAUCAGAAACAUAUGGACCAAGAUAUGGAUAACAAGAACACCCAAAGACUCGUAGGGAAGAGUAUGAAGGAUGACUACCAUAAAGACAAUGAUGUGGAGUAUCCCAAUUUAAGACAGAGGUGGGAAGGAGAUUAAUAAGAUAUACGGAUGUUAAAACAGCUUCCCAAAGUUUGUGUGGAGCACUAGAAGUACGUAGGAGGUUACGGGCCAUGGUUGCUAUAUGUCGGUGUUUUCUCUCGGCUAACCCAUUUUGUUGAGGAGUGUGAGGACAUGAGAAACGUUGUUGAAUUCCCAGUGAGUUGCAAUAUCUAGUGAAUUCAUGAUUGACAUAUUCAUUCCCAUUGUCACUUUGUAGAAAUUUAAUGGUGAUGCCAAAGAGAUUUUGAAUUUUUGCAACCAAUGUUUUAAAGUGAGUAAGUACUUCAUUCUUCCUAUGCAUUGGAUAUAUCCAUGUAUAGCGAGAAAAUUCAUCUGUGAAAAGUACAUAAUAUUUAAAUCCAGAGGUUGAAGAAGUUGAUGAAUACCAUACAUCACUAUGGAUAACAAAAAAAAGGGGAAUCAGCAUAAGAUGUAUUAUUUUCAAAAGGCAAUUUGUGAGACUUGCUAAGAGCACAUUCAUGACAGAUUUCAUGAAAAGAAAUUUUAGAGCCAAUACUAGGACUUAAACGUGACAAGACAUCAGAUGAGGGGUGACCAAGACGAUUGUGCCAGAUGGAAGAGUGUAUAGUAGCAAGAGCUUGUGGAGUAGAAGAGGUGGAAGACAACUGAAGUUGAUAUAACCCGUCCUUACAAGGGCCCUGAAAUAAUAAACGACCAGUUUGUAAGCAAUAUAUCUGAUAAAAAUCAGGGGCAAAGAGAAAGAAGACUUGAUUAUCUUUAGUAAAACGAGCAACAGAUAACAAGUUUUUACGAAUAGAAGGAAUGUGGAAGAUAUUUUGCAAAGAAAAGUGAGAAGAUCCCAAAGAAAUUGGUAGGUUACCAGUAUGAGAAACGGGCAUUGAGUUCCCGUUACCCAUAUAAACAUUAUGAGGGCCACUGAAUUCUUGAGGAUUGUUGACAAGCAUGGAGGUCAUAUGAUGGGUGGCGCCAGUAUCUGGGUACCAAUUUGGGUCUGCAGCAAAAUGGGCUCCGGCGAAGGGUGCAACUGUCGUUGGGCCUAAGAACUUGUGAGGGCAUUGUUGUUGUCCGUGCUGGUUUGUGUGACAAUUGGAACACCACAUUGGAGCUGGGCCCAAUAUUCCAUUGGAUGGUUGAGGGCGAGGAGCCCAUGGAGACGAGUAUGGUCUAAGUGGAGAAUACGGCUGCUGGAACAGUGGUGUCUGUUGUUGCUAAAAGUUGCGGCCUGAAUUGUAGCUUCUUGAUCUGUUGAAGUUUCGACCAUUUGAAUUAUUUUUCUGAGGUUGAUUUUCACGGCGAGUAUUACUACCAUGAAACAAAGCCGUUUCUGUUCCUUGUUCCUGCUUAUGUGGUUUUUGGGCAUCAAAGGCUAAGAUGCGAGCACGUAACUCAGUAAAAUUGGGAAGAGAAGAGUGUUGUGAUAGAGCAGUGCGGAGCAUGAGGUAGUCUGGUCCAAGUCCAUGAAGUGUUGCAAGUACCAGAUCUUCAUCGGAGAUAGGCUUUUUAAUGGCUGCCAAUUGAUCAGAAAGUGACUUAGCAUGUCGAAGAUAAUCAUCGAUUGAUUGAGAACCUUUACUGAGCUCGAGUAGCUGAAGCUUGAGACUGGAUGCACUAGCAGCAGAACGUUGUGAGAAGUGAUUAGCUAAGCAUUCCCAGAUUUCUUUCGAGGUGUCAAAGCCAAUUGUGAGUUGCGAGACGCUUUCAGACAAAGAAGUAGUAAUAAGACUGACUAUUUGUUGAUCUAUGAUGAACCAAUCCUCAUAUUUUGGGUUGGGAAUUUCUUUUGCAGGUUCUGUUGGAGUCGCAGCAGUCAUGACGGUGUGAGAUGGUUCUGGUAUAGAGCCAUCAAUGUAUCCCCAGAAUUUGGCACCAUGAAGAUAGGGCUUGAUUUGUCUCAGCCAAAUUAGGUAAUUUGUUUCGAUGAGUUUGGUGAAUUGAGCUGUGUUUUGAGAAGGAAAAGAAGUAGGAGAAGAAAAUGCAGAAGCCAUGAUGAGCAAUGAUGCGAAGAGAAAGAAAAGGGAGGAGAUUUGAUUCUAAACCUAGGCUGAUACCAUGUAGAAAUGUAUUUUCCUAUAUCUCAUUGAUGUAUAAUGUGUACAAUAUAUAGCAGACUACCAAUAGCUAUCAUAGGCGACAUUACAGGCGACAUUACAUGAGAUAUUAACAAGUACAGUAAACUGAAGCAAUUACUGUAGAAUCAAAACUGAUCCUAAACUAAAGCUAUUUUUGAGUUCAUAUAAUAUCAUAUGUGUACUUUAAGUGAUAUGCUGAUUUUGUGGGAUUGCUUUAACAGUAUCAACUGAGAUGAGUUAAGUACUUUACACAAUGAUAUGUUUUGUUAGCAAGAAACAUGUAAACCACCGUAAUGAGAUUAUUAGUUGUUAAGAAAUUAUAAUUACCAGAAUGAGAAACCAACACAGUAAGAAAUUAGGAAUAAGCAUCAGCUUCAAGCAAAUUAUAUCUCAAUGUUUCUCAGUGUCACUAUGAGCUUGUGACUUGAUGCUUAAAGUUUAGGCUAAUUAUAUCUUCUUCUGAUAAAGCAGUUAUUUAAGCUUAUUGUGAUAUUUAUUUAUAGCUCCAUAUAGGAGUCUCCGUGCUCAAUCUCGAGGACUUGUUUGGGAACAGGAUGUUUGUUACGCUUGUACGACAUCACGAGUGAGGUCGUGCGCCUUGCUCUUAUGAACUUAUAUUGAUUAAAUGACUUAAUUUAAAUAUUAUGGCUUGUUAUUUUUUAAUAUAUAGGCAAUGCUUAUCGACUUUUUAAAAUUUAUUCUCCAGACCCAACACAUAAAAUUACACAUAUUGAGGAUGGACGGAUAAGAGCAUCCCGAAAAGAUUAUAUACGAUGUACCAAUUUAUAAUUUAAUAUUUAUGAUAUUUUCAAUUUUAUUCCAAACUACAUCCUGAUUAUUUCCUAACAAGUUAGGAUAUCUAAAUUCAUUCCUUAAAAGGUAGCAGUUCCAAAUUAUAAUUGAAAAGAUUUCGAUAUUUUCAAAUAUCACUCCAAACUACAUCCUAAUUAUUUCUUAACGAGUUAGAAUAUCUAAAUUCAUUCCUUAAAAAAUAGCACUUCCUCAUCUUAUGUUUAAGAAUAAAAUAUUCAUUUUCUUCUUCUUUUCAAUUUUUCCCUCCACAUUAUUUCUCUUGUAAUAGAGUUUGAUUUUAAAUAUAUACAAUAAUAAUAGGGAGUACAAGAAUUGUUGUAUGUAAUUUAGUACUCUCUCCGUCCUAACCAGUUAUAUACAUUUGGUUGGGACACGGAGACCAAGAAAAAGUGUAAAAAAUGAGUAAAGUUGAUAAAAAGUGAGUAUAGUGGUGGGACUCAUUUAUAUUUAAUAAUAGAUUUGAGAUGGUGGAGGAAAUUAGUUAGUGUAAUAGUGUUUAUAUUAUUAUAAAAUGGAGAUGGUGGAAGAAAGUAGUUAGUAUAAUGAUGUUUUAUAUUAUAAAUAUUUACUAUUUAUGGAAUGUAUACAAUGGGGGGACGUCCCAAAAUAGAAACUAUAUACAAAUGAAUGGGACGGAGGAAGUAUAAAUCCUAAUCUAUUGUAAGUUAAAUUUAUUAUGCUCAAGAAUAAAAUGUUUAUUUUCUUCUUUUUCACUUUCUUCCCUCCUUUUUUCAAAUUUUUUUCUUUCUAAUAGAGGUUGAUUUUAAACAUAUAAUAAUAGCAAAGAGUACAAGAAUUGUUCGAGUUGUAAUUUAAUAUAAUAUCCUAAUCUGCUUUAAUUUAAACAUCUUAUUAUAUGUUUAAGAACUUACUUGGGGGAUCGCCCUUAGAGAUCCGGGAUGUCAGAUUCAUAUGCUGGUUUUUCUUUUAGAACUUGAGUUAUUAGAUUGGAGUGUUUUAUUAUUUAUUUUAUUCGUAUAGCAAACUGAAGCUGAAUAUUUCAGCAUUGUCAACUAGAGCAUAGAAUUUCAAAAACUUAUGAAAAGCAUACCAGGGAAACUUGAGGUUACGAGCUGAAUACCGCUGGAAAACUUGAGGAAUGUACACAAAUAGGUUCCACUGUGUUGCCUUAAUCUUGCAUCUUAUUCUAUAAAAAACAACAAAAAAGUUCCACCCAGCUGACAUUAAAGACCUGGGCUGACUAGUCUGAUCAGCCGUUCAAGUUCUUUAUUUGCGAGCACUGGCCAGAUGAAGGUUUCUGUAAUGCACUGAGAAGUCUGCAGACAUCAGAAUCAGACGACCUCAACUAAGUAGAUUAUACAAUUUCAACUAAGUAGCUUAGUUUUUGAAAUGGACUACUAUCCUGCAGCAUUAGCCAAUUCAAGACUACUUAAUUCUUGAUAACACUGCUAACUGAAGUAACUAUGGAAUGAAAUCCAUACACAUAUAAGCUCUUUAUCUCAUUGCGUUGAUAAUUCAAAACUGCAGUUAAACUAUAUUAAGCCUUUUAGUUACUUCACGUAAUAAAAUUAAGAUAAAAACAUUCUAUAAACAAAAAGUCGAUGUAGUGCAGAGAAGCUCCAUUCUUAAAUUUAAAUUUAACAAAAUUAUGUCAAUAAACACCCAAUCAUUUGCAAUCAGUCAGACAAGAACAGCAAAAUUAACAAUGACAUUUGAAAUGAAUACUGCCAGGGUUGCAGACCCUAGAAAUAAAAAUGUUGGCAAAUGGAAAAUUAUUUACCUUAGCAAUCUCUCACUCUGUUAGACAAAUGGAAAAUACUUAUUAUGCAGAGCAAGAAAAGCAGGAUCCUGUUCUUGUGAUUUAAGUAGGACACUUAUUAUAUCUACUAAAAAAAAUUCCGCACAUGUCUGCAUGUGAGAAAAUAACAUUACAAUAUGUACUGUAACUCUCAAUAGUUGCUUUUAAACCUACAAAAAUGCUGGCAAAAUCGAGAAGAUUAUGUACCUCAGAACUCUCUCCUUCGUUACACCUACAGCAAGUACUUCUUGCACAAUGCAAGCAGAGUAGGAUCCUGUUCUUGCACAUCAAGUAAAUCCAGUAAACCAGAUGCAGUAGAUGCGUCUGCUGCAAAGCCGCGACCAAACAUUUCAUCUAGGAGUACACCUGCUUCAUAGUAAUUCUUAUUCUGUAAACAACCGCGGAUAAGCAUGUUGUAUGUGACAUCAUUAGGAAAGCAAUCAUUAGCUUCCAUUUCCCUGAAUAGUUCAUUUGCUUCAUCCAAUAACCCUUCAUGACAAUAUGCUUGGAUCAUCACUGUGUAUGUCUUGACAUUAGGUCGCAAACCUUUCGCAGGAAGGUUGUCAAAAAGGCUUCUUGCAUUCUCGAGAUGUCCAUUUUUGCUNNNNNNNNNNNNNNNNNNNNNNNNNNNNNNNNNNNNNNNNNNNNNNNNNNNNNNNNNNNNNNNNNNNNNNNNNNNNNNNNNNNNNNNNNNNNNNNNNNNNNNNNNNNNNNNNNNNNNNNNNNNNNNNNNNNNNNNNNNNNNNNNNNNNNNNNNNNNNNNNNNNNNNNNNNNNNNNNNNNNNNNNNNNNNNNNNNNNNNNNNNNNNNNNNNNNNNNNNNNNNNNNNNNNNNNNNNNNNNNNNNNNNNNNNNNNNNNNNNNNNNNNNNNNNNNNNNNNNNNNNNNNNNNNNNNNNNNNNNNNNNNNNNNNNNNNNNNNNNNNNNNNNNNNNNNNNNNNNNNNNNNNNNNNNNNNNNNNNNNNNNNNNNNNNNNNNNNNNNNNNNNNNNNNNNNNNNNNNNNNNNNNNNNNNNNNNNNNNNNNNNNNNNNNNNNNNNNNNNNNNNNNNNNNNNNNNNNNNNNNNNNNNNNNNNNNNNNNNNNNNNNNNNNNNNNNNNNNNNNNNNNNNNNNNNNNNNNNNNNNNNNNNNNNNNNNNNNNNNNNNNNNNNNNNNNNNNNNNNNNNNNNNNNNNNNNNNNNNNNNNNNNNNNNNNNNNNNNNNNNNNNNNNNNNNACACCUACGGCGAGUACUUCUUGCACAAAGCAAGCAGAGCAGGAUUCUGUUCUUGCACAUCAAGUAAAUCCAGUAAACCAGAUGCAGUAGAUGCGUCUGCUGCAAAGCCGCGACCAAACAUUUCAUCUAGGAGUACACCUGCUUCAUAGUAAUUCUUAUUCUGUAAACAACCGCGGAUAAGCAUGUUGUAUGUGACAUCAUUAGGAAAGCAAUCAUUAGCUUCCAUUUCCCUGAAUAGUUCAUUUGCUUCAUCCAAUAACCCUUCAUGACAAUAUGCUUGGAUCAUCACUGUGUAUGUCUUGACAUUAGGUCGCAAACCUUUCGCAGGAAGGUUGUCAAAAAGGCUUCUUGCAUUCUCGAGAUGUCCAUUUUUGCUUAGUCCAUUAAUCAGAAUAGUGUAAACAUGUACAUUAGGAACUAACCCACGGGAUUCCAGUAUUUGAAAAAAGGAUAGUGCUUCAAAUACAUAACAAUUCUGGCAAAGACCAUGCAACAAGAUACUGCAUGUCACUUUAUUUAACUCAACACCUUGGUUAAUCAUCUUUUCCUUAAAAAAUUCACGUGCUUCAACAUGUCUACCCGCAUGAAAAAAACCUUGCAGUAUAGUACUGUAAGUCUCAAUAGUUGGGGCUAAACCUUCAGAGGGCAUAUGUUGAAAAAGAGCUAUUGCUCUGUCCACUUUCUUCUUUCUACAGUACCCGUUGAUCAGAAUAUUAUAGCUAAGAGUAUUAGGCAGUAUUCCCUUUCUAGUCAUGCUUUCGAACACUACUAAUGCUUUAUCAACCUUUCCCCGCAAGCAGUAUCCAUCCAUUAGUGAGCUGUAAGUGACUACAUCAGGAUAAUGGCCUCUUUGAAUCAUCAACUCUAUCACAUCCUCUGCAUCUUCAAUCAUUCCUUCCUUGCAAUACGCAUCAACCAAUAUAUUGUAAGUAAAAACAUCUCGAGAAAUGUUCCUAACAUCCAUCUCCUUGAGCAAUUGUUUGACAUCAUGCCAUCGAUUAAUGUCACACAGACCUUGAACUAAGGAGUUGUAGGUUAUGACAUCUGGGGAUAUGCCUUUCCUUGUCAUUUGGUGGAGAAGACCCAAUGCUUGAUCAACUAAUCUAUGUUUACACAAACAAUCAAUAAGUGUGGUGUAAGUUACGGUAUCAGGCUUGCAACCUUUCUUCUCCAUAUUUUUGAACAACUUAACAGCCACCGAAGGAUUCCCUCUCUUGCAGAUGCCGUCGAUGAUUGUGUUAUAG
rnacentral:lncRNA from 1 species